rnacentral:rRNA from 1 species
CGGAGGAUCCAAGCGUUAUCCGGAUUCAUUGGGUUUAAAGGGUGCGUAGGCGGACUGAUAAGUCAGCGGUGAAAUCCCACGGCUCAACUGUGGAACUGCCGUUGAUACUGUUAGUCUUGAAUGCAGAUGAUGUGGGCGGAAUAUGACAUGUAGUGGUGAAAUACUUAGAUAUGUCAUAGAACACCGAUUGCGAAGGCAGCUCACAAAACUGUGAUUGACGCUGAUGCACGAAAGCGUGGGGAUCAAACAGGAUUAGAUACCCUGGUAGUCCACGCCCUAAACGAUGAUUACUCGAUGUUGGCGAUACACCGUCCAGCGUCCAAGCGAAAGCGUUAAGUAAUCCACCUGGGGAGUACGGCCGCAAGGCUG